rnacentral:rRNA from 1 species
GUUGUAGUCUGGAGAAGUGUUUUCCGCGCUGGACCGUGUAUAAGUCUCUUGGAAUAGAGCGUCAUAGAGGGUGAGAAUCCCGUCUUUGACACGGACUACCAGUGCUUUGUGAUGCGCUCUCAAAGAGUCGAGUUGUUUGGGAAUGCAGCUCAAAAUGGGUGGUAAAUUCCAUCUAAAGCUAAAUAUUGGCGAGAGACCGAUAGCGAACAAGUACCGUGAGGGAAAGAUGAAAAGCACUUUGGAAAGAGAGUUAAACAGUACGUGAAAUUGCUGAAAGGGAAACGAUUGAAGUCAGUCGCGUUGUUUGGAACUCAGCCUUGCUUUUGCUUGGUGCACUUUCUGAAUGACGGGCCAGCAUCAAUUUCAGCCGUUGGAAAAAGGCUGGGGGAAUGUGGCACCUUCGGGUGUGUUAUAGCCUCUGGUCACAUACAACGGUUGGGAUUGAGGACCGCAGCGCGCCGUAAGGCAGGGGGUUUCCCACUUUCGCGCUUAGGAUGCUGGCAUAAUGGCUUUAAACGACCCGUCUUGAAACACGGACCAAGGAGUCUAACAUGCCUGCGAGUGUUUGGGUGGAAAACCCGAGCGCGUAAUGAAAGUGAAAGUUGAGACCUCUGUCAUGGAGGGCAUCGACGCCCGGACUUGAAGUUUUCUGAUGGAUCCGCGGUAGAGCAUGUAUGUUGGGACCCGAAAGAUGGUGAACUAUGCCUGAAUAGGGUGAAGCCAGAGGAAACUCUGGUG